ACUUGGUUGCCUUGGUGAACCUGCCCUUGUGGCUGCCGGGGAUGCCUCACGGUGUCCCGGGCUCGCGCUCACCAGUGGAACAUUUGAACUCUUACCUGAAAAUAGUCAGUCUGAGCAUUAUGCAAAUUAAAUAAAACUUUCAACAACGGAUCUCUUGGUUCCGGCAUCGAUGAAGAACGCAGCGAAAUGCGAUAAGUAAUGUGAAUUGCAGAAUUCCGUGAAUCAUCGAAUCUUUGAACGCACAUUGCGCCCUCUGGUAUUCCGGGGGGCAUGCCUGUUCGAGCGUCAUUGCAACCCCUCAAGCACAGCUUGUGUGUUGGGCCAUCGUCCCUCUUCUGUGGACGGGCCUGAAAUGCAGUGGCAGCACCGAGUUCUGGUGUCUGAGCAUAUGGGAAUCUCUUAUCGCUCAAAAGACCCAAUCGGCGCUGAUGUCAGAUUUUUAUCCAGUUUGACCUCGGAUCAGGUAGGAGUACCCGCUGAACUUAAGCAUAUCAAUA
rnacentral:rRNA from 1 species